rnacentral:rRNA from 1 species
GACGAACGCUGGCGGCGUGCUUAACACAUGCAAGUCGAACGGAAAGGCCCUGCUUGCAGGGUACUCGAGUGGCGAACGGGUGAGUAACACGUGGGUGAUCUGCCCUGCACUUCGGGAUAAGCCUGGGAAACUGGGUCUAAUACCGGAUAGGAGCCAUUUUUAGUGUGAUGGUUGGAAAGUUUUUUCGGUGUAGGAUGAGCUCGCGGCCUAUCAGCUUGUUGGUGGGGUAAUGGCCUACCAAGGCGGCGACGGGUAGCCGGCCUGAGAGGGUGGACGGCCACAUUGGGACUGAGAUACGGCCCAGACUCCUACGGGAGGCAGCAGUGGGGAAUAUUGCACAAUGGGCGCAAGCCUGAUGCAGCGACGCCGCGUGGGGGAUGACGGCCUUCGGGUUGUAAACUCCUUUCGCUAGGGACGAAGCUUUUUGUGACGGUAC